rnacentral:misc_RNA from 1 species
AGUUUUGUAAUUAUUCUGCCUUGGUAAAGUGCCACUGGAAGUUACAAACAAAGUGUUUUCCGAAUACUUUGACUUUCGACCAUUAUUCUGUGGGCAGAGCACAGGAGGUUCUCAUGUUAUGUGACUGCUCUGAAAAGAUCAUUUUUAGAGUAUUUCUUUUGCUGAAGUUGUCCUCAAUACAUGGAAUAUCACACCUUCGAUUUAGGACUCGAGAAAAGUUUGCUGAACAAUUAAAGUGAACUCAACAUCUUUUGUCUUCCAUUUGUGAUACUAUAGCAGGCAUGACUGUGUGCAUCAACUAUGAUUUGGAUGUACUCAAGAAGUGAAAGUUUCCACUGCUGUUAUUUCUGAAGAAAGCAUCCCUGAAGUGAUAUGUUCCUGAUCUGAUAAAGAUAUUUAUUGUGAGGCCAAUUGUCAUUGUAUUGAUGAAUCUGGAAGACAUGUAGAUGGUUCUCGAGCUUUCGAGUAAAUACAGUUGAACAACUACUGGUAGAAUUUUUUUCCAACAAUCGCAGUUGGUGGAAAAGUGAUUCUUUCUGUAAAACCAAAGGAAAUAGUUUUGGAAUAUCAUCUCUCUAGCAAGAAUAUCCUCAAAGAAACCUUAAGACAUUGGGUCCCAAAAUGGCACCAAUGGGUUCCUCUGAAAUACCCGCUAAGGUACCCCUUGACACUUUGGGGGUGACGCCCCGCCCUCGUCCCACCAGCAUGCCCAUCCCCCAGCUCAAUCUGGUUGGGUGUCGCUACGAACCUUACGUCCCGCCCUCCGGUGUCCGAGGCGGGCAGCACAUCCGGGACCGGAGCUGGUCCACCUGGUCAAGGCAGAGUGUCCACUCUACUCAUGUUGGUAGUGUAGGUGGAAGGGCCCACGUGGUGGCAGCCUUCGAGCAGAGCCUGUCCAACAUGACCAAUCGGCUCCAGCGCCUGACCUCCACAGCCGACCAGAAGGACAGCGAGCUCCAGGACCUGCGGGAGAAGAUCGAGCAGCUGAAGGUGGCCCACAUCAGCAACACUCAGGGACUACUCUCCAAUGGCAUAUCCAACGGAGGGGUGAUCGGCCAGAAGAAAUCCAGUAGCAACCAAGCGAGGGAAAACACAGGUACAGAAGGUCGUAUGACCCGUCAGAUGUCCACUGAUUCUAUGUCGUCAUUAGCCAGUAUGACAAGCAUGUCUAGCGUAGGAUCAGCCGUAACAGACACCGAGAUGCUGGAAUCAAAGAAGAAGAAGAAGAAAAAUUGGAUCCGAAGUUCAUUCCGAGCCGCGUUCACUCGUAAGAAGAAGAUGAGCGGUACGAUAACGGACACGGAAGAUAUGGAGAGCAACGUAUCGUUAUCGAACGGGAGUAUCCCGAGCAACGGGCAGCUUAAAACGUCCGCAUCCACCUCAGCGAUCUACGACUCGCCGGAGAGUAAAGAAAUGAUCACCGAUCUUAAGAAGCAACUGAGGGACAAGGAGAGUAAGUUGACCGAUGUCAAGUUAGAGGCCUUGAGUUCACAGCAUCAACUCGAUCAGCUGAAGGAAGCUAUGAACAAAAUGAAGAACGAGAUGAGUGUAUUAAAGCAAGAGAACGAGAGAUUACAGAGGCAAGUCUCGUCAAGAAGAUCAUUAGAAGCCAACUCUUCGCAAGCUUCCUUAAAUUCACUAGGUUCAUCAAAGAGACUCAGUAGAGAUUCUCUUGAUCGUCACAGAUUAAGUACACAUUCAGACCAUGGCAGUCUGGAUAUCUUAUUAGACGAUAACUCCGGUAUGACGAGCAACAGCAAACGUAUCGUCGUCACGGUAGCACUCGGCGGCCUUCAAGAUCCGUUGACCCAGCCUACAACGGUCUCCACACCUCUUCAAGAAGUUCUGAUAGGUACGAUAGGCAUCAGUAGCAAGACAAAUUGGGAUACGUUAGACAGUGUAGUUAGGAGAAUAUUCAAGGAGUAUGUGCUGAGAAUAGAUCCUGUGACCAACCUCGGCCUAAGUUCUGAAAGCAUCAUGUGCUACGUAGUGGGUGAGAUCAUGAGGACGAAGGAAUCGGAAUCACCGGAGCUUCUACCCUGCGGGUAUCUCGUCGGAGAAAACACUUCCAUCAGGAUAUUCGUAAAAGAUCAUUUACAGAACAGCUGCGAUUCCUUGGUGUUCGAGACCCUCAUCCCGAAGCCCAUCAUGCAACGCUAUGUAUCCCUUCUCAUGGAACACAGACGGAUCAUCAUGUGUGGACCCAGCGGGACGGGAAAGACAUACCUGGCGCAGAAACUUGCAGAGUACAUCGUCCACAGAUUAGGGAAAGAUGUGACACAAGACUCCAUCAACACCUUCAACGUUGAUCACAAAUCUGGGAAGGAACUUAAGCAAUAUUUAUCAUCGAUAGCAGAGCAGUGUGAGACAGGCGGUAAUGACAUGCCCCAGGUUGUGAUCCUUGACAACCUACAUCACGCUGGUGCCCUUGGGGACAUCUUCAGCGGCUUCAUCAAGUACCAGAAGUGCCCCUACAUCAUUGGCACCAUGAACCAAGCGACGUGCUCCUCAACGAACCUACAACUCCACCACAAUUUCAGAUGGGUGCUGUGUGCCAAUCACAUGGAGCCUGUCAAAGGCUUCCUGGGGCGCUACCUCCGCAGGAAGCUGGUGGAGUACGAGAUCGGCCACAACACCCGCAACAACGACCUGAUCAAGAUGGUGGACUGGAUGCCCAAGGUCUGGCUUCACCUCAACAAGUUCCUGGAGACCCACAGCUCUUCGGACGUGACCAUCGGACCAAGGUUGUUCCUGUCCUGUCCUAUCGACCUGGCAGGGUCUCAGGUCUGGUUCACCGACCUGUGGAACUACUCCAUUGUGCCCUAUCUCCUGGAGGCUGUCAGGGAAGGCCUACAGCUCUACGGGCGCAAGGCAUCAUGGGAAGACCCUGCGGAGUGGGUGAUCGACAGCUACCCCUGGAUGGCCAGCUCCUCCCAGGACUGGCCCUCACUUCUCAGGUUACGACCGGAGGAUGUCGGCUUCGAUGGCUACAGCAUGCACUCAGGGGUCAAGGGGUCAACGCAGGGUCAGCAAGGUCAAGGAGAGGUCGAAGGUGACCCUUUGUUCAACAUGCUAAUGAGACUCCAAGAAGCGGCCAACUGUCCCAACUCGCAUUCUUGUGACAGCGACAGCGUGGACUCGAUGGGUAUGAGCAGUGAGGACAUCUCUGUGGAAAUCACUGUCUGAAGAAGCUCGCACAGCCCCACCACAAUCUUGACCCACCCAUGGAUAGGAUGUAAAGUCCUAGGUGUGCACUCCUGGAUUUCCAGUAACAAUGGACUGGGAAAGAGAGUGUUGUCAACAAACGCCUUCAGCAUCCACGCAAAAGGGAAUGCCACUUGUCAACUAAUUCCCAAAAUAAAAAUUGUUCAAAUACAGCUGCAAAAAGUUGUCAAUAAAUUAGUUGAAUUGUGAAAUGGGAAGAAUAGGAAAAUAUUUAAAAACAUGAAUUUUAAUUAAUUUAGUUGGUACAUUAUGACUACCAAGACUAUGGAAGAAAUAUUAAGCAGCCCAGCAUUCCAUAGAAGUGUGGUUUAAAAUUGUAGUUAAGACAGGGCUAAACCGGUUUAAUAAUCAGAAUACCUUCCAUUUGGUCUACUAUCAAUAUGAUUUAAUAUUGUCUAACAACUAAAUUCUAUACCAAAAAUAGGUAUAGCCUAUGAUAAUAAUAAGAUGGAAAUCAGACUAAAAUGCUGAGUAGACGAACUGGUUAUAGAUGAUUAGACCAUGUCAGAUCAGAUGACACGGAAAGUAGACCAAGCCAGAGUAAACCGGUCUGUAAUUUCCACAGUGGACAUACCACCUUUUGGCAGUAAAGUGAAAAGAGCAUUUCACCUACCCCAAUGCCAUUGAUCAUUUCUCUUGAUGUGUUUUUUUUUGCAGUAUUUGUGUAUAGAACCAUUUCAGUGCAAUUUGUUGUCGAAGUUAAUUUUUACUUACUAUUUUUUCUAUUUUAUAAUUUUUUUAUGAGGAAUUAAGGUGCUCUUUGCUUGGAAUCCUUGAUUUUCUUCAAUUUUUUAGAAGUUUUUGAACCAAUGUUCUCAUUUUUCAUUUAAUCUCUAUGUGUAUGUCAGAAUUUAUGAAUGUUUUUUUUAAAUCCUGCCUAAUAUUUUAGAAUAUGCGUGUCAUUGGAAGUGGAAGAAUAUUGAUUUUAAUUGAACUUUUAUCAGACAAUUGUUUCUGAGAAAAGUUACAAAUAAUUGUCCGAGUAUUUUCAUCAAAAUACUUUUCUUUUUAAGUUCUACGAUUUCAAAGUAAAUUUCAAAUGCAAAAUAUCCUGAUUUCUCUGGAAGGGAAAAAUGGCAUUACAAAUAAUUCCAGUAAAUACUGAGUUGUUUGUGAGGUGAAGCUGUAUUUGUUAGUUUUGUGCCAAAGCAAAUUUUUGAUGAAUUUUACAUUAUAAAAUUUUGAGAAUUUUAUUUUCCAAACAAUUUUCAUUCAAUCCAGAACAAAAUUUACUCAGACAGUCGCGACUAUUAGUCAUAAUAGUAAUUACAAUCAGUUCUUAGAGACGCAUAAUACCAUAUAAAUCGUGUGGUACGUUAUGACUGUUGUCUACCGUUAGACAAUAAUUGAACUGAUGGAUACAUGUAGGUGAAAUACAAUGUCUGUGAAAUUGAUUCAUAUAUGUUGCAAAAUGAAAGAACUGUUUGCCAUGCUACGAGUAUGGUGCUUCAGUGCUUUUUUCCCCAAUUCAUGUAGUCAAAAUGAUUGACCAACCAUCAGGCAAAUUCUUUGAUAUUUAGUCUGUAGUCUGUGGCUUCUCUUUAAGAAUAGGUCAUCACAUGUAAGUUACACUGUAGGCAUUUUUAGUUUUUACAUGUACAUGCACUGUACGAGCUAUACACAUUAUAAGUGAACAAUUGCUUGAUAGCCGGCUACACAAUAGACAAGCAAAAUAUUUUGUUAUAGCAAGGAGUUACCAGUUUUAGUCGACUUGAGAUCAAUGUUUAACUUAUCUCAUGAAUACCGUUUUUUGCGCACUUAUCAUUUAAGUCUAUGUCCACUGCACAUGGAUUUGUGUACAUGUGUACAAAAUGUCUACGCACUUAGCUGGAUCAAGGAAAUUGUGCUUACCUGUUUUAUCUUGCAUUCUGCCUUUUUAUAAAUUAAAAACAACUUUUUAUUUCACUUUUUUAUUUUGAUUUUAAAUUAAUGUUCAGUGUUUUGUGACAAACAUACAUUAAAUGAAAUGUAGGACUGCGGAUUUUCAUGAAGAAGUUAUAUGCAUGAGUAAAUGAAAGGGUGAUUUUUCCCUUUCUUUGUAUAAAACUAGUGCAAAAUUUGACGACUACUAUAUAGUAAUUUUGUAUAAAAGAGAAAGAUAUUAUAAAAGGAAGAAAGUUUCCAAGAUUUAUGAUGUGGUUUAUAUAAUUGUGAUUUUUCUAAAGAUGAUUCUUUGUUUUGUGUAAAAUCUAGUACUUCUCACUUUUUUGCUGAAAAGUAAAUAUUUCCUCCCAAAUCACAAUAAAAACAAACUAUUUCAAAGCA